GCCGGCCUGAACGUUAUAUAAGGUGCAUAGCCACUCCACGUCCAUUCACACUUGUUCGUUUAUGUCUCCGUAAUUAAUACGCCGGUGGCUUCGCUUCUGUUCUACAAAGGAAACUACAAGUUAUGUCACUGUCCACGUGGCUGCCUUAUUGGGCAUAUAGACGUUACUAUACAUGUUUUUUUUGGGAGGGCUCAAAACAAAAAUAGUAACAAGUGAAAUUAUUAUUUUUGUGGGAACCACUGGGCAGGUGUCGAGGCCUCCUGAGGUUGCUAAACAUCGCGGCUGUCUUUCACCGCCCAACGGUCCGAAUACUUUAUAAAGCUUGCCAAGGUGGUUGGUCCUUAAUCAUUCCGUUAUGUUGAAGGUAUCUUCUGCUUUUUUUCUUUUCGUUUUCGUCUACGACUCUUGCCUUUUAUCGAACAGUCUUUAUAUUUCUGUGAUCUGUAUAACAAACAACAUUAGGGGACUAAAAUAGUAUAAUAUUAUUGACUUACUAAUACUAUUACAUGUUUAAUCAAUUAGCUAAUGACAACGCUCUAAGCAAAUAGAGGAAAAACAUCGCGGGUAAGGCCACUUUUAAGCAUGGCCCUUGUUUAAAAAAUCAGGCCAGGAUUUGUAAGCCCGCGGGCUUCAUACCAUAUUAACAUAGUUAAUCCAUGGUAAUGGGCUUCUGUGAUUAAGUUUUGCGUAAGUGUGAUAUGUUCAUGGAGAUGACGAGUUGUUUCAAAAGAUGAGAGCAGAGUUUGGACACUUUUAUGAUCCAACUCCAAGAUUGGUAACUUAAAAGGGUCGUACCUGUUUAUUUUUAGGUUCAUAUGUAUAAUGAUCCUAUGAUAAAGCUAAGGUAUGAUAUUAUUUAAGAAAGAAGAAUGUUUACAAUCUCAACACGGUGAUGAACCGUGAUUGAGCCCAAAUCCAAGAGCCACCUCUUGAAACCCUUUUACAAUCCAAUUC
rnacentral:lncRNA from 1 species